ACGUAGGGGGCGAGCGUUGUCCGGAGUUACUGGGCGUAAAGCGCACGCAGGCGGUCUGGUAAGUUUGGAGUGACAAUUCUCGGCUUAACUGAGAAGGGUCUUCGAAGACUGCCCGACUUGAGGGCUUACGAGGGACACGGAAUUCCGGGUGGAGUGGUGAAAUGCGUAGAUAUCCGGAGGAACACCAAAGGCGAAGGCAGUGUCCUGGGAAGUACCUGACGCUCAGGUGCGAAAGCUAGGGGAGCAAACGGGAUUAGAUACCCCGGUAGUCCUAGCCGUAAACGAUGACCACUAGGCGUGGGGGGUAUCGACCCCUUCCGUGCCGUAGCUAACGUGAUAAGUGGUCCGCCUGGGGAGUACGGUCGCAAGAUUA
rnacentral:rRNA from 1 species